UAGUACGAGAGGACCGAGUUGGACUGACCGCUGGUAUAUCAGUUGUUCUGCCAAGGGCAUAGCUGAGUAGCCACGUCGGGACCAGAUAAGCGCUGAAAGCAUCUAAGUGCGAAACUGACCUGAAGAUGAGUAUUCCAUGAAGGGUCCGUGUAGACGACACGGUCGAUAGGCUACAGAUGUAAAGACAGUAAUGUCAAAGUCGAGUAGUACUAAUUACCCGAAAGCUUACCUUU
rnacentral:rRNA from 1 species